UACGGAGGGUGCAAGCGUUAAUCGGAAUCACUGGGCGUAAAGCGCUCGUAGGCUGUUUGGUAAGUCAGACGUGAAAUCCCGCGGCUUAACCGCGGAACUGCGUUUGAUACUGCCAGACUUGAGUGUCGGAGAGGGUGGCGGAAUUCCGGGUGUAGGAGUGAAAUCCGUAGAUAUCCGGAGGAACACCAGUGGCGAAGGCGGCCACCUGGACGACAACUGACGCUGAGGAGCGAAAGCGUGGGUAG
rnacentral:rRNA from 1 species